UGCCAGCAGCCGCGGUAAGACGGAGGGUGCAAACGUUGUUCGGAAUCACUGGGCAUAAAGCGCACGUAGGCGGUCCGCUAAGUCAGAUGUGAAAUCCCUCGGCUCAACCGAGGAACUGCACCUGAUACUGACGGACUCGAGGACGGUAGGGGUGAGUGGAACUCCAGGUGGAGCGGUGAAAUGCGUAGAUAUCUGGAGGAACACCGGUGGCGAAGGCGACUCACUGGACCGUAUCUGACGCUGAGGUGCGAAAGCUAGGGUAGCAAACGGGAUUAGAUA
rnacentral:rRNA from 1 species